rnacentral:rRNA from 1 species
GAUGAACGCUAGCGGCAGGCCUAACACAUGCAAGUCGAGGGGUAGAAGUUGCUUGCAACUUUGAGACCGGCGCACGGGUGCGUAACGCGUAUGCAAUCUGCCUUGUACUGAGGGAUAGCCCAGAGAAAUUUGGAUUAAUACCUCAUAGCAUUAUGAUGUGGCAUCACAUUAUAAUUAAAGUUCCAACGGUACAAGAUGAGCAUGCGUCCCAUUAGUUAGUUGGUAAGGUAACGGCUUACCAAGACGAUGAUGGGUAGGGGUCCUGAGAGGGAGAUCCCCCACACUGGUACUGAGACACGGACCAGACUCCUACGGGAGGCAGCAGUGAGGAAUAUUGGUCAAUGGGCGCAAGCCUGAACCAGCCAUGCCGCGUGCAGGAUGACGCAUCUAUGGUGUGUAAACUGCUUUUGUACAGGAAGAAACACUCCCUCGUGAGGGAGCUUGACGGUACUGUAAGAAUAAGGAUCGGCUAACUCCGUGCCAGCCGCCGCCGUAAUAC